rnacentral:lncRNA from 1 species
CACAACCCUAGAGAACAGAACAAAUCUGGUCAAGAUGGCUAAAGCUUCCCCCAAAUGGCCUUGCUGCACAGCUCUAGUGACCAGGACAGGAAUGAAGGCAAGGUCAAUGGAUCAGUACCCUUGACUCUGAGGAUAUCACAGAAAGAAAUCGCUGUGUGGCCUGAUCAUCUUCCUUGAAUACUCCUUUUGUCACAUCUUCGCCGCAAGGACCGUCCACGGCUCCCUACUUCCUUCUGUGGACUAAUAGUGACCACUGCAACCUUUUGGAAGUACAAGAAGACAUCUUCAUAGGGAGGCUCCUCUGCCAGUGGAAGGCAGGGUUGCAAGAAGGGAUCACCUUGUUUGGGGAACUCGAUCAAAAACACUGAUAACCAGUAUCCCUCAGCUUUGUCCCAGAUACCCUGGUGAUGUGGCGUCUUCUGAAUCUGAAACUUAUCAACAAAUGGAGUUAGAUGCUGUGCACUUGAAGCAGCAGAGACUGCCAAGGUCACUAACAUAUGGACUUGCUUUGUCUCCUUCAAGACAAGACCUGGGGCACUCCCUGAGCUGUAGGAUUUGAGAAGAGUCUUCCCAGGAGAUGAACCUCUUCUUCAAAUAUUUGAGGCUCUGACCUGUGAAAGAAGGUGCCUCUCAACCUGAAUCCUAACAGCAGAGCUUGAACUUCUGGGUAUAAGAAAGAAGGAAGCAGAUCUCAACUCAAUAUAAAGAGGAGCCUUAUCAGGCACAGAAGUCGAGAGAUGAAAAUGGCUGCUUUAGGAGGCAGUGGGCUCACUCUCAUGAGAGGCACUGCAACAGAGGCAGGUGUCCCUGUGAUUGGCUCAGGAGUAAUGAUAUUUAAUAUUUAUGCAUCACUUCAGCAUGCCAGGUCCAAGCCUGAGUGUUAUAAACUAUCUUAUGUAAUGCACUCAACAAUCAUAACAGGGAAGUAUUAUUAAUAACUCUAGUUUCAGCCAGCACAGUGGCUCAUGCCUAU